GCCUCGGUGUUCUAGUGGUAGCACGCGCUCACGGUACGGGUGAAACGCGGGUUCAACUCCCGUCUGAGGUC